rnacentral:lncRNA from 1 species
GUCGCUCACCUUGGUCUAUGUGAAUAUUAAACAAUGGACACAGAUGGAUUCAUGACAACUGUAUUUUACCCCCAUGUUCUAUUUUUAGCCAUGGCGGCCAUCUUGGUUUGUUGGCUGAGUUACCGGACACAUUUUUUUAACUAGAUACCCAAAUGAUGAUUAUGGCUAAGUUUGGUUAAAUUUGGCCCAGUAGUUUCAGAGGAGAAGAUUUUUCUAAAAGAUUACUAAGAUUUACGAAAAAUGGUUAAAAAUUGACUAUAAAGGACAAUAACUCCUAAAGUGGUCAACUGACCAUUUUGGUCAUGUUGACUUAUUUGUAGAUCUUACUUUGCUGACCAUUAUUGCUGUUUACAGUUUAUCUCUAUCUAUAAUAAUAUUCAAGAUAAUAACCAAAAACAGCAAAAUUUCCUUAAAAUUACCAUUUCAGGGGCAGCAACCCAACAACGGAAUGUCCGAUUCAUCUGAAAAUUUCAGGGCAGAUAGAUCUUGACCUGAUGAACAAUUUUUCCCCCAUGUCAGAUUUGCUCUAAAUGCUUUGGUUUUUGAGUUAUAAGCCAAAAACUGCAUUUUACCCCUAUGUUCUAUUUUUAGCCAUGGCGGCCAUCUUGGUUGGUUGGCCGGGUCACCGGACACAUUUUUUAAAACUAAAUACCCCAAUGAUGAUUAUGGCCAAGUUUGGUUAAAUUUGGCCCAGUAGUUUCAGAGGAGAAGAUUUUUCUAAAAGAUUACUAAGAUUUACGAAAAAUGGUUAAAAAUUGACUAUAAAGGGCAAUAACUGCUAAAGUGGUCAACUGACCAUUUUGGUCAUGUUGACUUAUUUGUAGAUCUUACUUUGCUGAACAUUAUUGCUGUUUACAGUUUAUCUCUAUCUAUAAUAAUAUUCAAGAUAAUAACCAAAAACAG